UUAAAGUUAAUCUUGAAAGUAGAUAAAUGCAUUUGAAGCAUUAACUUCCAAUAAAAAUUGGGCUUUAAG
rnacentral:tRNA from 1 species